rnacentral:rRNA from 1 species
CUAUCUACAGGCUUAACACAUGCAAGUCGAGGGGCAGCAUGGUCUUAUCUUGCUAAGGCCGAUGGCGACCGGCGCACGGGUGAGUAACACGUAUCCAACCUGCCGUCUACUCUUGGACAGCCUUCUGAAAGGAAGAUUAAUACAAGAUGGCAUCAUGAGUCCGCAUGUUCACAUGAUUAAAGGUAUUCCGGUAGACGAUGGGGAUGCGUUCCAUUAGAUAGUAGGCGGGGUAACGGCCCACCUAGUCUUCGAUGGAUAGGGGUUCUGAGAGGAAGGUCCCCCACAUUGGAACUGAGACACGGUCCAAACUCCUACGGGAGGCAGCAGUGAGGAAUAUUGGUCAAUGGGCGAGAGCCUGAACCAGCCAAGUAGCGUGAAGGAUGACUGCCCUAUGGGUUGUAAACUUCUUUUAUAAAGGAAUAAAGUCGGGUAUGCAUACCCGUUUGCAUGUACUUUAUGAAUAAGGAUCGGCUAACUCCGUGCCAGCAGCCGCGGUAAUACGGAGGAUCCGAGCGUUAUCCGGAUUUAUUGGGUUUAAAGGGAGCGUAGAUGGAUGUUUAAGUCAGUUGUGAAAGUUUGCGGCUCAACCGUAAAAUUGCAGUUGAUACUGGAUAUCUUGAGUGCAGUUGAGGCAGGCGGAAUUCGUGGUGUAGCGGUGAAAUGCUUAGAUAUCACGAAGAACUCCGAUUGCGAAGGCAGCCUGCUAAGCUGCAACUGACAUUGAGGCUCGAAAGUGUGGGUAUCAAACAGGAUUAGAUACCCUGGUAGUCCACACGGUAAACGAUGAAUACUCGCUGUUUGCGAUAUACGGCAAGCGGCCAAGCGAAAGCGUUAAGUAUUCCACCUGGGGAGUACGCCGGCAACGGUGAAACUCAAAGGAAUUGACGGGGGCCCGCACAAGCGGAGGAACAUGUGGUUUAAUUCGAUGAUACGCGAGGAACCUUACCCGGGCUUAAAUUGCAGAUGAAUUACGGUGAAAGCCGUAAGCCGCAAGGCAUCUGUGAAGGUGCUGCAUGGUUGUCGUCAGCUCGUGCCGUGAGGUGUCGGCUUAAGUGCCAUAACGAGCGCAACCCUUGUUGUCAGUUACUAACAGGUUCCGCUGAGGACUCUGACAAGACUGCCAUCGUAAGAUGUGAGGAAGGUGGGGAUGACGUCAAAUCAGCACGGCCCUUACGUCCGGGGCUACACACGUGUUACAAUGGGGGGUACAGAGGGCCGCUACCACGCGAGUGGAUGCCAAUCCCCAAAACCUCUCUCAGUUCGGACUGGAGUCUGCAACCCGACUCCACGAAGCUGGAUUCGCUAGUAAUCGCGCAUCAGCCACGGCGCGGUGAAUACGUUCCCGGGCCUUGUACACACCGCCCGUCAAGCCAUGGGAGCCGGGGGUACCUGAAGUGCGUAACCGCGAGGAGCGCCCUAGGGUAAAACUGGUGACUGGGG